GUCCACAAUGCUAAAUCUUAAGAAAUGCGGCCCGAAGAAGAGAUCUGUGGCUGAAGAGAAGAGAAAAUGACAGACUGCUCUGGACAAUAAUCUCACAAAGACUAAUUGCUGGGGUGCUGUGGUGGCACAGAGGUAGAGCACAACCCAUGUAUGGAGACCCGAGUCCUCGACACGAAUGUCGCAGGUUCGAGUCCCGGCCUGAUGAUCUUUGUUGCAUGUCUUCCCACUCACUCAUUACUUCUUUCUUGUCUAACCACUAUAAAAUAAAGACUGCUUGUGUAACAUAGUUAAUGUUGUAUAGAAUUCCACUUGUCAUUACUUCCAAGUUUGGGUUCAUGUGUAAUGGGUGAAACAGCACCCCCUCCUGGUGGUUGGCAGUGUUAAAUAUACUGAACACAGAUAUCUCGUUGCCAGUUCAUGAGAGAUGAGCGCGAGGUGCUGUACCCGCUGUGAUGAACCUGAUUCCUGAUCAGUUGUUAUCCUGUUCCAUACAGAUAAAAAUCAAUUCAUCUCA